AUUGAACGCUGGCGGAAUGCUUUACACAUGCAAGUCGAACGGCAGCACGGACUUCGGUCUGGUGGCGAGUGGCGAACGGGUGAGUAAUGUAUCGGAACGUGCCCAGUCGUGGGGGAUAACGUAGUGAAAAUUACGCUAAUACCGCAUACGAUCUAUGGAUGAAAGCGGGGGAUCGCAAGACCUCGCGCGAUUUGAGCGGCCGAUAUCAGAUUAGGUAGUUGGUGGGGUAAAGGCCCACCAAGCCAACGAUCUGUAGCUGGUCUGAGAGGACGACCAGCCACACUGGAACUGAGACACGGUCCAGACUCCUACGAGAGGCAGCAGUGGGGAAUUUUGGACAAUGGGCGAAAGCCUGAUCCAGCCAUUCCGCGUGCAGGAUGAAGGCCCUCGGGUUGUAAACUGCUUUUGUACAGAACGAAAAGGUUUCUACUAAUACUAGGAGCUCAUGACGGUACUGUAAGAAUAAGCACCGGCUAACUACGUGCCAGCAGCCGCAGUAA
rnacentral:rRNA from 1 species